AUAGCUUCUUGGCCUUUUGGCUAAGAUCAAGUGUAGUACAGUUACUAAGUUUAUUACCAGACAGACAUUAGGUAUAACAUAAAACCCAAUUUGGCAUAUAAUUUACAUUUUCUGCAAUUUGGCAAAUAUUU
rnacentral:snRNA from 1 species